rnacentral:rRNA from 1 species
AUGACCCAGGCCAGUGAUCCCGCCGACCGGGAUGAUGAAGACCGAGGAUCGACUCUCUAUGUCAUGGACCUGUCAAGCGACGCCAGGAUCCACGACCGCUUCCAGGUCCUCGCCUGCCACCAGGGCGACGGGUGGCGCUGGCAUGCUCUGCCGGCGCCGCCAUUCGUCUCUAGCUACCCUUACAGCUACGGAAGCACGACUUGCUACACAGUGGUCGACAGCUCCACCAUCUGCAUAUCAUCCAUGAAAGGGGACUUGGGCACAUACGCCUUCGACACGGCGAGGCACGUGUGGAGGCAGGUCGGCAAAUGGGCGCUGCCCUGGUGUGGCAAAGCUGAGUACGUCCCUGAGCUCAAGCUCUGGCUGGGCCUCUCGCUCCCGGCCGGCAGCCCCCCUUUGGGCCACUUGCUCCCGGUCUGCAGCCCCCACUUUCCCAGGUUAUGCGCCUUGGACCUCUCCGCCAUGGACGCCGCCGAGCAGCCACCGACGCCGCAGGGUACUUGGGAUUAUCUUGACCUGCCCGAGGAUGACAAGAGGAGGAUGAUAGCCGAGCUCCAUCUGGUUAACUUGGGCUCUGGCAUGUUCUGCGUCGCCACGGUCCUUAGGGACCUGGUGCGCCUACCUAGAGUAUGCGACCCAUGGACCAAUGAUGAGGACGGCUCUCCUUGCACUUCAAAUGAGGACGAUAUGAUGGAUCUCCUUGGCGACGAGAUUGUUAUCUUAACUGGAGUGAAGGUGGAGAGAUGCUGCAACGACGGCGAGGCUCCUCUUCGGAUCAUCAAGCACAAGUCUAGACGUUACGAUUUAAAAGAGUAUACCAUGAAGUCCGUGCUAUAA